UCCCUGGUGGCUCAGUGGUAAAGCAUCUGCCUGCAAUGCAGGAGACAUGGGUUCGAUUCCUGGGGGG
rnacentral:tRNA from 1 species